rnacentral:lncRNA from 1 species
ACACACAGACUCUGCAGGGGAUAGAAGUUGGCUAUGUUGUUCCAUAAGCAUAUUUUCAACUCAGCACAAUGAAGACCAUUGUCCUAGAUGGCCUGCUGGGGAAAUGGAUUAUGUAAUUAUGAAGAGCUGAGAUUUAACACUUAUGCCAGUAUCUGCUGGCCAGGCUGGAGGGCAGUGGCAAUCAUAGCUCACUGUAGCCUUGAACUCCUGGGCUUAGGUGUUCUCCUGACUCAGUCUUCCAAGUAGCUGGAACUACAGGUGUGUGCCACCAUGCCUGGCUAAUUUUUUAAAUCUUUUGCAGAGAUAGGGUCUUGCUAUGUUGCCCAGACUGGUCUCCAACUCUUGGACUCAGGCCUUACCUGUAUGACCCUACUGGAUAUGAAUGAGAAAGAAUAUAUUGAAAUUGAGAAAAUAAGAUUUACAUUAUGAAAUCAACUCUAAGGAAAGAAGUAGGCAGGAAACCUGUUGAAAGAAAAUGAAAGCAUUAUAUUUCAGCAAUUACUUAAAUCCUGCAAGAAGAUCAUGUUUGAUGGACACUGAAACUGGACAUUGUAGAAGAUGAAUUAUGAGAGUGAUUUAUGAAAGAAAGACAGUGGAGAAUUGCAAUCGAUGGAGACAUUCAAAGAAAAGACUUUGGCACUACAUCAAAAGAGAGUAGAAUAAGUAGUCUUUGCUUAUACAUUUUAAAUGAAAAUAAAUGUUUAUCAUACAUAUUUGCUGUUUUUUAAACUGUAAUUCAAUUACUAAGGCUGAAGGGAAGAAUGGAUGUUGGAUAAAGAACUUUCGAUUCUGUCAUUGUUAGUAUUAUUUGUGUGCGUAUGUGUGUGUGUGUGUGUGUGUGAAUGUUGAGCUUCUCAGCUUCAAUAGUUAGCAGGAAAAAGCACUGAAUCGUGAAGCAUAAACUACAAAUAUAGCAUCUGUAUGAUAUUCUCUUUAAAAAAUGGUAAAAUUCUAGGAAACAGUCUUUGGUGCUUGCUUUUUUAGAAUGAUUGGCAUGGGAUCUGAGUCUUAGUUUCAGCUUUUAUGACUGCUUUUUACUGCAUCAAAUAUUUGACCAGGCAAAGUACAUUUCAAUGAACAGCUUUACUCCCCUUUAAAAGAAUCUGAAAGUCCAGCUAAAACUCCUCAUCAAGUUAGCUGGGAUCAUGGUGUUCAUUUUGGAUGAGGCAAUGUACUAAUUCAUUCAGUCAGCUCGAUUUGACAUUUCUGGGUUAGGGUAUCUUCCUUAAAAGUUACACAAUAAGUUGGAAUUAAAGUGCUCUGCUUGCUUUUGAUAAGACUGAUCAAAAGAGUGAUAGGAGUAAUCACUACUUAGAAUCCUAUUUAAUAAGUAUUUUCCAUUUAUCUAACUCUAAGGAGAAUUUAGGCUAUUUGUCUAGUGAAAUCCAUUUGAUACCAGGAUUUGUUAUGGCCAUUCUACAAUCAGGUGUUCCUAAUGUAAUGAAUGAGAUAAAAAAUAAUUAAGCUAACAUUUAUAUGAUGCUUACUACUUCCAGAAACUGUUAUUAUGCAUUAUUAACUGACUUAAUCCUCCUUACCACUUUAGGGGGUAGAUACUAUUAUUAUUCCUUUUUUUUUCAGAUGACGAAACUAAAGCACAAAGAGAUUAAAGAACUUAUCCAAGGUCAUGCAGCUGGAAAGAAGUGGAUUUGGGAUUGUGAACAUCACAAUUUCACAAACUACAUUUCAUGAUGGGUAGAGCUAGUCAAACGUCUGAAAAUAAAGUUUGGUUUAAAGAUGACCAUCGUCUUGUUAAGAAAUUAUAUAAAUGAGUAUCACUAAAAAGUCUCUCUUUAAACUCACCAAGCACUCUUCACUAUGGACAAGAAAGUGUGAAUAUGGUUAUUUUUUAUUUAAUAUUUUCA